rnacentral:lncRNA from 1 species
UUGCUUGAUUUAUUUAAUUUUUUUAAAUUUUAGGGGUGCACCUGCAGCAUAUGGAGGUUCCCAGGCUAGGGGUCUAAUUGGAGCUGCAGCUGCUGGCCUACACCACAGCCACAGCAACGCCAGAUCCGAGCUAAGUCUGCGACCUACACCACAGAGCAUGGCAAUGCCUGAUCCUUAACCCACUGAGUGAGGCCAGGAAUCGAACCUGCAUCUUCAUGGAUACCAGUCAGAUUCGUUUCUGCUGAGCCAUGAUGAGAACUCCCUUUUUUUAAAAUUUUUUCUACUGGUUUACAGUGUUCUGUCCAUUUUCUACAGUCAUAUUUUUUUUCUGAGCUAUUUUCUAGUUGUUUCAGUUUUAAAUAAAACUUUUUUUUUUUGCGUGUAGUAGAUUCACACAUAGUUGGAAGAAAUAAUACAAAGAGCCUUGUGUGCCCUUUACCGGUUUCACCCAGAACUACAUACAAGAUCACAUCAAGCUGCUGACAUGGGUACAAUCUGUCCAUCUUAUUCAGAUUUCCCCAGUGGACUUGUAUUCAUUUGUGCAUCUGCAUCCGGCCCUACCUAGUUUCACACGCCUAUACAUUCCUGUAGCAUCACCACAGGCAAGACACAGAACAGUUUCAUCACAAGGAUCCAGUUGCCCUUUUAAUAACCACAUCCAUGUAUUCUCUUUUGACCUGUUUUUUUUGUUUUUUGUUUUCAGUUUUUAGGGCUGCCCCACGGCACAUGGAGGUUCCCAGGUAUGGCCCUAAAAAAGCAACAAAAAAAUAAAAAAGGGAGAGAGGGAAAAAAAAGGCUGAGAGGAAACCAGUCAUCUGCAGAGACUGAACUAUCCUGAGCAGCCGCUCCCAUCUCAACAUCUAAGGACCUGUGCACAGGGCAGAGGUUUCCAGCAAUGCUGGGUCACAGGGAUGAGCUUCCCAGAGCUGUGUGAUGAGAAAACACAGUCACACAGUGGGUGUGUGGGUGCUAGGACCAUCCACGUCCCUCCUUAGCAAGACCACAGUGUUCGCUCUCCUUGCUCAGUGAGGCUUCCUCCCCACACACUUGCAACCCUCUUCCCCACCUUACUUUCUCCCCACAGCCCCCGUUUCUAUCCUACUAAAUUCCUCCCUUAUUUUUUAAUCAAUCAAAUCUUGGAAUUUAAGCAUGAGGGUGGAGAUUUUUGUUUAUCUUGUUACUAUAAAUAUUCUUCAGUGCCUACAACAAUGACUAGCACAUAAUAGCUGCUCAGUAAAUACUCACUGAAUUAAUUUAAGGGUGUGUGUGUGUGUGUGUGUGUGUGUGUGUGUGUGUGUGUGUGUGUGUGUGUGUAAAACAUCCUUUCCAAUGAAAUGGCAGUAAUAAAUGACAGGCUUUUUUCAUGCCCUGACGGCAACAUUUAAAACCUAGCAACUCUAUGUUAACAUGCACACAUUUUUUUUCUUUUUCAUUUUACACUAUUUAAAAAAAUCACUGAUUCAUGAAUUCUGAACGUUUAGGACUCUGUAACCUUAGGGAAGAGUUUGGGGUAAGGCAGGCUUGAUCUGAGUCUGGCUUUACUAGCCACGUGAUCUCGGGCAAGUUUCUUUAUUCUCUAAGCCUUAUUUCUUCACUGCAAAAUGGGAACAGCCACUGAGAGGAUGAUAUGUAUAAAGCAUUGACCUGGUUUCAGAGUAAGUUUAAUUCAGAGAAUAAAUGACGUUCACCAGUGUGGUCCAGCCAUGGCCAAGGCAAGUCUUCUCCACCAAGGUCUCGUGCAAAAGCCCCCUUAGCACUUGCUCUUUGCUCAGCUCCACUGCAGGGGCCCAAGCCAGACAGGGGCCCCGCAAAGGCAAUUUCCUGGCAUUCAAAGGAGCUAAUCUUAACUCUGUAUUUACCUCCCUUGCUAUAAAUAUGAUUAAAAUGAAGGCACUGCUUUCAAAGUGCUAGAGUCCAUUUUCCUAGGAGUGGUGACUUCUGAGACCCUUAUAAAUUAUGAGAUUAAUUGGAGUUCCCUUCGUGGCUCAGGGUUAACGAACCUGACAAGGAUCCGUGAGGGUAUGAGUUUGAUCCCUGACCUCGCUCAGUGGGUUAAGGAUCUGGUGUUGCCGUGAGCUCUGGUGUAGGUCACAGACAUGGCUCGGAUCCCACAUUGCUGUGGCUGCGACAGAGGCUGGCGGCUACAGCUCUGAUUUGACCCCGAUUUGAUAUAUAUCAUAAUAUAUAAUGAGAUUAAUAAAUGAAUUCCUGUCCCCAGCAUGAUUAGGAAAGAGGGGAAUCAGGUCAGAAACCACUGCCAAAAGGAUAUCCUUCAGAAAUGAUGAUAAAACAAUCCUGAAAUCAGAACAUAAAUAAUCGAGGACACAGAAAUCAUUUCAUGGCAAUUUGCUUUGCACACAUUUUUAAUUGUUUGGCUUUCAUUCAAGCAUGACCUUGCCUUUUGUUUGAGUUCACACUAUUGGAAAGUUAUGUUAAUACAAGAAAAAUAAGUAAACUGGGAGUUGUGGAAGUAGAGGGAAGGUGAGGGCAGAGGUGAGGUGUCCUGGCUGUUUCGCCUUGAGAAAGACAGAACUGAGUCAAAGUCAAGAGAGAGAAAGUCUAUGGGUUUUAAACUGCUUAGGGGGAGGAGGACAUUACGGGCAAAUGAAGAGAGUAAAACAGCUCUGCCACAUUCUGACAGGCGCUGUCCUGUAUGACUCCACGCACAGAGAUGGGAGUGGGGAAGCCUCCUUCAGUAAUGGUUCCCCUGUUGUCAAAAAGAUCCAAAAAAAUUAGGAGAACCCAUGGCCAGACUGCCAUGGUUAAUGUUAAAGUUAACCCUUUGCUUAAUGUUAAGUCUAAGAUUAAUGUUAAUCCUUUGCAUUUGCUUUAAUAACAGAAUCUUGGUGUUUUAGCUUGGCACGUUGCCACACAGCUUCCCUUGCAGCUAGAGAUGGUCAUGUGAUUAAGUACUGGCCAAUGAGAUAGAAGUGAUACAGGAUGCUACCAGGAAGUUUCCUUAAAGGAAGCAGGCAGGUCCUUCUCUGUUCUCUUCCCCUAUCUUAACACCUGGAAUAUGAAUGUCAUGCCUAGACCAUAAGCUCAAAGGCCUCCCAAGCAUGGCAGAGCAGUAAGCUCAUGGCAGAGCAGCGAGCUAGAGGAAGCCUAGGUCCCUGAGAACUUAGGAGCUGUCAUACUGGCCCUAGAGGGAACAGAUAUUCAUCAUAUUUUAAAAACCACUACUUCUCAGGUUUCUUCUUCACAAUGGAAUCUAAUCCUAAUUGAUAGGGGAAACAAUACAAGAUUUUUUACUUUUUAUUUUGCCAAACAGAGAUUGAAAAGAUCAGAGUACUAUAUACCAUCACACUAAGAAAUAGAAUAAAGAAUUGUCUGUUUAAUUAAAUUUUUUUUUCUCAUUCACUCAACAAACAUGGACCAUUUACUAU